rnacentral:tRNA from 1 species
GCCUCAGUAGUCUAAUUGGCUAGGACACUUGCACGUAAAGUGAGUGAUCCGGGUUCGAUUCUCGGCCGAAGUA